AGGAAGCAUCCUUUUCAGAAUCAGACCCUUUUCUGCCGAGUCCUUUUUUACAUUUACAUUGUUGCAUGAACCUUGUUUUAAUACCAAUACAUAAUUCAUAUGAAUCGAAUGCAUGCUGAACUACAGUUAUUAAAAAGCCACUUUAAAAUUAAAUAUUUUUAAAUGAGCUUAUUUUUCUUUGCAGAAAAUGGCAACGUCCCCCAACAACAGCUUCACUGAUGAAAAGAGGGAUUCAGCCAAGGAUCAGGCUGACGAACAUUUCAGACUAGUUCAAGCCAGGCUGCAUCUACCUCCCGGGAGAGUAGAACACAAGCCUUGGGUCUCUACUCCAGUUGUUUGCUCUGUGAAGACAGGAUUUCUCAAGUACACUGAUCAAAAAGGGGAAAAACACUUUCCCAUCUCCUGUGCUGGACUGCCUGGAUGAUGCACCCUGGUGUUGUGUCAACAGAAGCAAAGUACAAUAUGUUCCUGAAAGACAGAAAAAAAAUGCACUCUCUCUCUGGUCUGACAGGUCUGCUAAUCUUCCCUUGCAAAUCCACUUUGACCUUCAUCAUUCUGAUACGAGGGCUAUGUCUACACUGAGAUCCAGAAGUGUGAUUGCAACUGAUGGCCAGAUGUUAGUUAGCUUUGGACUAGCUCUUGCAGACACUGGGAGCAGUCUGCCUAUAGUAGCUCUGUGCAAUCAGGAAAGCAGUACUUUGUUGCUGAAGCAUGUGUUGCAGCAGUUGCUUUGUUGUUGGUGCUAGUACAGAGCUAACCCAGGUACGAUUUGCCAAGCUGCAGUCUCGUCUCUGGAUUGCAGUGUCGAUGCCUCCUUGGCAAUCAUGAGACCACUGUUAAGGAACAAGCCCUCACUCAGCCCACUUGCUCCCAUUCUGUACACGCUGCUUGCUGUGUUGGUGCAGCACCAGGAGUGCUCUCAGGAGUGCCUCAUAGUGGGGCUGCAUGUCCUUGGCAUUCCUGGAGCAGCAACCAUAUAGCCUGAUUUCAGCAUUUGGAGUGUGCAGUGUAGGAGUCAGUGCAGGGCCCUGUUUUGGGGCUCUUAGUUACUCCCCAGGAGAAACUGACUGAUCUGUUUAAUUUGCAAGUCUUCAGCUUUGUUCCUUUUGUGAUAUAUCACAAAUCUUUUGGUCAAAACACAUGGCAAGUGUUGAUCAAGUGCAUCUGAUGCAUGCUGACAAGCACAACAGAAACAACAUCUUCUCAUCAACAUGAAACAGGAGAUUGGAGGUGGAAUAGGAUACUCAAAAAAACAAACCUGUGGGACAAAAAAAA